rnacentral:tRNA from 2 species
GGAAAGUUAGCUCAGUAGGUAGAGCAUGGGAUUGAAAAUCCCAGAGCAGGCGUUCAAUUCGCCUACUUUCCACCA